rnacentral:rRNA from 1 species
GACGAACGCUGGCGGCGUGCUUAACACAUGCAAGUCGAGCGGUAAGGCCCUUUCGGGGUACGACGAGCGGCGAACGGGUGAGUAACACGUGGGUGACCUGCCCUCAGCUCUGGGAUAAGCCCGGGAAACUGGGUCUAAUACCGGAUAUGACUUCAUGACGCAUGUUGUGGAGUGGAAAGCCUUGUGCGGCUGAGGAUGGGCCCGCGGCCUAUCAGCUUGUUGGUGGGGUGAUGGCCUACCAAGGCGA